rnacentral:lncRNA from 1 species
CCCCGACUCCCCUUCCCUCCAGCACCUAGCCAUGUUUUAAGGAGAGACGGAUAACCUUCUGAGGCCAGGACAGCUCCAUGCGGGCCGGAAUCCUCCCACCUCCUACACUUCUACCCCAGGCUCCCAGGGGCUCCUUCCCUCCCCCUCCUCCAGUGUCCAGGGCACCUCAGCCCCGGUCCCCACACUGGCCUAAGAGCUCAUCGCCAUAUUAAGAAAGGAAAAGGAGAGAUGCCGGAGCUAAAAAUAAGACCAGAUGAGUCGGAGGUAAAUGAAGCUGGGGCUGGGGGAGGGGAGGUAUAAGGGUAAUUAGGGUGGGCCGAGGGUGGGGCAAGGGUAAUUAGAAGUUAAAUGCAGUGGAGAGGAGGAGCUAACUGGGUCAGAGGCUAAAUUGAUAAUAUAGGACAAAAGGGGGACAAAUGUGGUAUUGGCUCUAUGUCCUAAAGCCUGGGAAUCUUCUGUAGGUGAAGUCUGAUUCUGAUUCUUUGAUACUAUGUAGGAGAGUGGGGCGAUAAAAGUGCAAGCCAGGCUGCAGGAAAGAGACCCCCUCCACUUUCUUUUAAAGAACCAGGACCAAGGAUGAGGUCAUUCUCUGAAUAAAAGAUGGAGCCGCGUCCAAGACUGGCAACCUGGCUCAGCUCCAGCCAGUUUCCUUUGCUUCACUCAGCACUCCUAACUUGGGAAUGCAGGGAAGGACAGGGCUGGCCCAGAUCCUGUCCUGUAGAGAUGUGGGUUUGGGGUUUCUCUGCCUAUAAAGCCCACAAUGAGAAGGGGUCUGUCCUUUGGUUGCCACCUGUGUGUGCACUCCCUACCCUGAUCCUAUGGGACUCGGUUUUCUGGGGCACAGUGGGAAGGGAGGUUUUCCCAGGCUGCAUGCUUCCAAGGAGAGUGAAUAGCUACUAUUUAUUCCCAUGUCUUUGACAAGACAAAGAGGAUCAGGUAUUGACACCAGGGCAAAAAAAAAUUAACAUUAGGCAAGCAUGAAGAGGUGAACCCUGUGCCCUGAACCAAGACUGAUGAUUAAUUCUGUGCACCCGAGAUCCAAAGCAGAGAUGGGCGGGUAGGGGCUUAAACUUCUGGAUCCAGCUUGGGGGGUGAGGACAGAGUAGUGAGUUUAACUCUGGAUACGUAGGAAGGAAGGAUCCUCUUCAUGGCCCUCCAGGGUUCUUACUAUGCACAGGUAAACUGAGGCAUGAGGGAGACCAUAGAGGGUCAGAUCAAAGUCACAUGCUGCCACUGCACCCUGAGGUAUCUCUGAUUCUAGAGGGACAGUGGUGUUUUUUUUGUUUUGUUUUGCAUCCAGGGAGGGUCAUGUAAUUAUGUUAGCAGAAUAACUUUUCCACAUGUCUGUGUGGUGGACCUUACACAGCUGAACACGGAAGGCCACAGAAAAUCUCAAAAGCAUGGCAGGAGUGAGGCCAAGAGGGACAGCUGUCACUGUAGCAGGAGAGGUUGGAGCUAGCCUAAGCACAGCACGUUGGAGCUGAAGAGACCUCAGAAGCCCAUAUCCUGGUCUCCCUGAAGAGUGGCUAACGUGGGAAAGCCCCAAGGCCAGAGCAAAGGCAGCCAGUGAUUUUCUUCUGAGCCCGUACAGGCUCAUGGAGGUUGGAUGAUGGGAAAACGGAAAGAGGGGAUGUACACCAACCCCCACCUGAGUCCAGGGUUGAAGUCUCCACCAUGGGCACCCUGCCUCCUCACCCUCCUCCACCCCCGUGACGAUGGAGGCAAAGUUGUCAUCCAGCAGGAUCAUGUCGGCUGCCUGCUUAGAGACGUCAGAGCCAGAGAUGCCCAUGGCAAUGCCAAUGUCAGCCUUCUUCAGCGCAGGGGAGUCGUUCACCCCGUCACCUGUCACGGCCACAACGGCUCCCUGAGGAAGUCCAGACAGAGAGAGUGAACAAUUUAUUGCAUCAGAUCCAGAACUAGUCCCAAAGAUCAGUACGCUUUCUGCAUCCCUUGUUUCCUGAUGUAAUCAUGCUUGAUUUAGGGCUCCCGUCCUUCUCCCACUCCUCCUGAGAUAUUUAAACUUUCAGGGAGCCCCAAACUGAAGGCCACCAUGGAGGUUCCAGAUGGGGUACUCUCUGGAGUCUCCUCUAGCCCAGCCCACAUGUUCCUCUGCUUGGUUUGGGACGGGGCUAAGCCACAGGAGUUCUGCCAGUUUCCUUGGGGCUCCUUUUCGUUCCUUACCAGCCUCUGACAUCCCUCGACAAUGAUGAGCUUCUGCUGAGGGGAGGUCCGAGCAAACACGAUCUCAGGGUGGUUCUGGAGGAUCUGAUCAAGCUGCUUGGACUGUAUGUCCUUCAGUUCUGCACCAUGCACCACAAUGGCUUUGGCAGCACUGAGGGAAAAUAAUUUCAAAAGGCUAGUUUUGAGUGUUGAGAAUUCACCAGGGGUCUUGGUGCCCAUCUUGACUAUAGCUUCAUUGCUUCUUCUUUCAACCUAGUCUCCUCACUUGUCCCUAGCCCUAUAUUGUCCCCAAAUUGACACAUCCUAUUCCCUCCCCACACUUUUGCCAACCACUCCUCUCUUUACCUCUUUCUUCAUCUUGCUUCCUUUGAAAACCCACUGACAUAUUCACUUUAUUUUCCUAUUAUGUUUUACUUUGUAGUGUAAACCCCACACAUCCUACCUAUUGAAGGAGACUCCAAGAACUUUAGUAAAGUGGCAUCUGGGUGGGGCAGGCUGGGGAUGGAGGGAACAUGGCAGAUCUUGAGUUCUUUAGUGAUCUCACCUGGCAUCGACCUUGCUGAUAGGGAUCUUAAGCCGGGCAGCGACUUCCUCUGCCGUCUCAGUGCCUUCUGAGAUGAUGCCCACACCCUUGGCAAUGGCCUUAGCUGUAAUGGGAUGAUCUCCUGUUACCAUGAUCACCUGGGUUGGGAAGGAGAGGGAAGAGGAGCAGAAUCAUCUUCAGAGCCCGGAUCCUUCAUUUUUCUCCUCUGAGAACUGACAGACCACUGCUUUUUUCAACAAGGGUUUUAGUCGCUCAUUCCCAAGAACUUGUGGUGUAGACCAAAAACCAUGCUACUGUGAUUUCAACCCUUGGGAGUGGGUCAAGACCAUGAGACCAUAAAACAGGACAAUUUGGGUCCUAGAUUUACCAGGAAUAAGCCAGAGAUUUGACUAUAUUCAGAAUUUCAUUUAAUUGCUCCAGAAGCUAUUCUGCUUCCUUAAGUGCAAAGACAGAAACACCUACACAUAGAACAAGUGGUAAUAAA